AUGUCUUAACUAUCUCAUUUUUAUUCAAUUAAUUUUUAACUUUCAAUUUUUGUAACUGCUAUCAUCCUUUUUACUUCCACUAUGCUUUAUUGAUUCUUUAGAGGAUAUUCCUAGGUUUAGCUUACAGGUUUAGUGUUUAAGAUCUCUUUAUAGUAAUUAAUAGUUCUUUACUUUUAUCCUAUGAGAUCAUAUAUCUUAACUGUUAUCAUGCUACAAACUAAGAAAAACAAAAAAGCGUUAUAAACAUUUGCAAAUCCAUUGCAUUCUGUAUAAGGAAAAUUACAUUAUUAUGAAAAAUGUGGUUCUAAAAUAUAAGUGCGUUAAUAAUUCGGUUAUGGUUUCCCAACUUCAAAUUUUAUUGUUAUUUUGCUUGUUGAUCAAUGACUUCUCUAUGGAGAUUGGCAAUAUUUGAUUCACACUGGAUUUUGACCUGCUUAAAUGAGUGUGUGGUUUGGCCACCAAAGUAUUUCAAAGCAGAUAUUUUUCUGCAUCAAUAUUUCUCUUGCCGUGAUUUUAGCUUGUAGUUUUGUACAUCUAAACAUGUGUCGCAAGAACUUAGUUCCUAAUACGGUAACUUACAACACUCUUAUUGAUGGCUUGGGCAAAUCAAAGAGAUUCUCUCGCCCUUUGGAGCUUUUUAUUGAGAUGCAUGAUAAAGGUCAACCUUCUUCUAUAUUCAUUUACAAUUUCUUGAUAGAUGCCUUGUGCAAAAACCGACAACUUGACAAGGCACUAGUGUUAUUCAGUUAAAUGGAAGAGAUUGCAAUUAACCAAAUAUACACUCAUACAACAUGCUUAUUGAUGGCCUAUGCAAAAGUGGAAAACUUAAACAUGCUCAGGAGAUUUUUCAGGAUCUUCCUGUUAGAGGCUAAACAUCCAGCCAGACAUACAAUAUUGUGAUCAAUAGUCUUUCUAGAGAGGGUCUGUUUGAAGAUGCAUUGGUCCUGUUGUCAAAAAUGGAACAUGAUGGUUGCAUUCCUGAUGCUGUGACUUUUUAAACCAUUAUUUGAGCUUUGUUUGAAAAAGAUGAGAAUGUUACGGCAGGAAAACUCCUUCGUGAAAUAAUUGCUAGAGGCUUAUUGAAUAGAUAAAAGAAGGUAAAAUACAUCUCAAAUUAAAAUUACAUUUCUAUUGUUGUUGAAUAUGUAGAAUAGUUAUAUAAAUUCUCUAUAUGCUGGGGCAGAGGACUUUGGCAAUGCCAUGACCUCACUAUCACUAAGGUUUUGACUAUCUCAAUUUUAUUCAACUAACUUUGCACUUUUGAUUUUCACAAUUGUUAAUAAUUUUGUUAUGGUUUCCCUGCUAUUCCUAAAUUGUGCAACUUGUUUUUCUUUAUCUUUGUAGGUGGAGUAUCUAACAAAUUCCCAUGACUGGUGACAUUUAUCAUUAGCAAAUAGCAACCGUAAACUGUUGUUUAUUUGACCGAAUCCUCCAAGAACGGUAGUAAAACGAAUUCAAGUGGGGAUUAAGGAUGUAUUCAUAAGCUAUACGGUUUUCUAUUCCACCUUAAAAAUAAAUCCAACUUCUAAAAUGUGUGUCGCCUCUUUUGAUUUUCCUUUUUAUCUUUAUUUACUUUUCAGAUUACAGCCUAAACAGAAUCGAUUUAGGUUAUCCAUCUAAAGUCUAAACUUCCCAAUUUUAUCUCGUUAUCUAUUAGAAGAAGUUCCACACAUCAAGAUGCUGUCUUUUUUAUGCUAAAGCAUGUGAUGACACUUGAUGUCAAAACUCAAGAUAUUGCGUGUGAAGAAAAGAUAGAGGACAUGGAGAAGAAGAAGAAGAAAAUGAAAGAGGCCAUGAUUCUUGUUACUGUUGUAUUGGCAAUAAUUAAUGAUAGGAGUCGGAGCUGCAAUUACUUUUGAUGGCUGCCAAAUAGCCAGAGAGAGUUUUAAUUUAGAUUUAUUUUGUUGAAUGCUUCUGUUGACUCAGUUGAUUCUUAUAGUGGAUUUUGGUUUGGGGAGAAAGAAAGAGGCUAAAUUUUUGUGGCAAUGUGCAAUACAUUCCACUAUUUGGAGCAUUUGGCUAGAACAGUCUUCGUACAUUUCAUGACAGAUUCACAGGAAAAGUUGUUUGUUUGGGAUAGAAAAAGGUGUUUAGCAUCUGUGUCUAAAAUAUAUGAUUUUUUCAGAUGACUUUCCCUCUCAGACAUGAUGAGAGAUUGGAAGUUGCCGUUCAUUGAAGCUUCCGAACUUGUUUGUAUUUCCAAUGGUUUGGAGAAACUCUUUCCUCCACCCAUUUGUACUUUUCUAUCAAUACAUUAAUGAUAUUCUUUCUUU